GCCUGGUGUGUCACACUCAUCUGUUUC
rnacentral:piRNA from 1 species